UAAUACCAGCACCCCGAGUGGUCGGGACGAUUAUUGGGCCUAAAGCAUCCGUAGCUUGUUCUGCAAGUCUUCCGUUAAAUCCACCUGCUCAACAGAUGGGCUGCGGGAGAUACUACAGGGCUAGGAGGCGGGAGAGGCAAGCGGUACUCAGUGGGUAGGGGUAAAAUCCUCUGAUCCACUGAAGACCACCAGUGGCGAAGGCGG
rnacentral:rRNA from 1 species